ncrna:unclassified sequences Actinomyces-1 RNA
GCCGCCGCCGGACGGUGAGGGCCACGAGGUGCUGGGGAGCGCCGAUGAGGGGCCGGAGCCGAGUCCAGGCCCGUAAGGCAAGGGAAUUCGGGUCGGGCGCCCGGCGAAGGAG